CAGGGAGACAACAAAAUGUUUAAUAUUAUUAUUUUGUCACCUUAGGUCGAUCGGUAUCUCACGUUUUUAAUUUAUUAAGAAUUUCAUUUCCUAAGUUUUUCUAGGUCACACCCAUUAUUUUUCCUGGGCCAUUAGCUCAGGUGGUUAGAGCGCACCCCUGAUAAGGGUGAGGUCCCUGGUUCAAGUCCAGGAUGGCCCAUAUCUCUAUGUUGGGGGUAUAGCUCAGUUGGUAGAGCGCCUGCUUUGCAAGCAGGAUGUCAGCGGUUCGAGUCCGCUUACCUCCACUGAUUACCACCUCUUCCAUAACCGGUAGUAAAGGAAAUUUUUUGAGUUGUGAUCAAAUUCUGAAAGAAUCUAGCUUCCUAAUGAAAUCAUUAAGAUGCUGGACUCAUUGAAUUAAUUUCAUUGUUUUCAGAGAACCUUGACAACUGCAUAGAUUAUUUUUAAAGACAAUAAGCAUCUUUAAUGAUGCAGAUUUAUUAUUUGUGCGAAUGCAUUAAUAACAAUUCUAUUAAGCUGAUGCUUCAAUUUUUGAAGUUAUU
rnacentral:tRNA from 1 species